rnacentral:rRNA from 1 species
AGCCCGCUCAGAACGUUAAAGGAAUGACGGGGGCCCGCACAAGCGGAGGAGCAUGUGGUUUAAUUCGAUGAUACGCGAGGAACCUUACCUGGGCUCGAACGUAAGAUGACUGUAGGUGAAAGCUUACAUCUCUUCGGAGCAUUUUACGAGGUGCUGCAUGGUUGUCGUCAGCUCGUGCCGUGAGGUGUCGGGUUAAGUCCCAUAACGAGCGCAACCCCUACCUUAGUUGCCAUCAGGUUAAGCUGGGGACUCUAAAGGAACUGCCUACGCAAGUAGUGAGGAAGGCGGGGAUGACGUCAAAUCAGCACGGCCCUUACGUCCAGGGCUACACACGUGCUACAAUGGCCGAUACAGAGGGCAGCUACCUGGUGACAGGAUGCAAAUCUCCAAAGUCGGUCUCAGUUCGGAUCGGAGUCUGCAACCCGACUCCGUGAAGUUGGAUUCGCUAGUAAUCGCGCAUCAGCCAUGGCGCGGUGAAUACGUUCCCGGGCCUU